rnacentral:misc_RNA from 1 species
GCUGCACACCUCCAUCUCUGUUCAGGCACGCCCGCACCCUCUCGCCGCCCACCGGCUCACAAGCGAAGGGCCCAGAGAAACAGGAGGACGUGCACAAAUCUUUUUCUUUUUGUUCCCCUUUGCCGAAAAGACAUUGUUCGCCGUUGCAGAGUAUCGCCCCCCUCCCCCUUCCUGCGAGAAUGGCUGAACCAACGUCGUCGUCCACCCUCCCUUCUACCCCCUUGCCGACUUCUUCGUCUCGCACGCCACACAUCAUUGCCGCUGCGGUGACAGCGGCUGCGGCACUCGGCGCUGGCAUACUUUUUGCGGUGGUGUCAAGCGGCAGUGCGGGUGAUGGCGGAGGCAGCCGACGUGCCUUCCGGUCUGAGGGCGCCAUCCAGGAGCCGCGACAGGCUGUCGUCGAGGCGCUGGAGGCAAUACGUGGUGGGCGGUGCAAGACUUGCGGCGAGCUCGUGUUCUUCCUGCGUGGCCCUCCCCAAUCUCCGGUGUCGCCAGCCGCUUUUCGUGGCGUUCUCGGGGCCGCGUCAGCCACCGCCAGUGAAAAGCUACCUCCGUCGAAUGCGCACUGCCUGCGAGUCCCAGCCUCCGUGCUACACUACAUCCAGGAGAGCUACUUGCCCGCGACGCGGCGUCAGCUGGUUGAGGCGCAGCAGAAACAGCAGCCCUCCCCCGCCACGCCUGCUCUGCAAGUAGAAUACAACCUCUUCGCGCAGAUGGUCGCUGCGGACGUGACACUGCGUGCGCUGAGCGUGGAGCGGGCGACUCCAUUCGACAAGGACAAUCGCAGCCACAUGAACCUUCUCCAGCAGCUGUGGAUGGCGGCAGGGAAGCCGGCGACGACGUACAGCCCUCUCGGGCAGCACUGGGCCAGCAUCGGCUUUCAGGGCGUAGACCCCGUGACAGACCUCCGCGGCGGCGGCGUACUGGCGCUCCGCCAGCUCGUGCACUUUGCGCAGGCGCACAACACCGCUUUUCGCGAGAUGCUCGCUUACAACGAGCGUGUGCAGCGGGAGGGCAAGCACAGCUGGUACCUGCUUGCCGUCGUCAGCAUCCAGCUCACCACCCAACUCAUGCUCGAGCAGGAUCACCCACUGCAUGUGGCGCAUCUGGAGAUGAUAUACGACACGCUGUGCCUCGGAGCUGCCGGCGAUGCGACGGCCAAGACUGCUGGCCGUCGUGCUGUGGCGGGGCAGAAGGGCGUGAGGCUCGGCAGCACACGCGCCGCGGAUACGGCGGCGUUUUGGGAGUUUUGCAAGAGCGCGCGCAGUGCCGAGGCGGGCAUGUUCGCGCUGCACCAUGCGCUGCUGCUUCACUUCAAGGAGUGCUGGACCCGGGACGAGCCGCACGUGAUGGAGUACAACACGUACAUGUCUGCCAAGGUGUUCAGCACCUUCUUCACCACGAAGUGGGCAGACAAAACGCUCACAGCGCCGUAGACGGAAGGGAAAGACGAGGGACGCGGAGGGGGGGGCGUCUGCUCUUCAUCUCACAAGGAGGCUUUGAAGAGCACGAGGACAGCGCAUGCCCCUAUGUGUGCGGUGUGUCCGCUGUUACUGCUGUGAUAGUGCAUGUCUACGUAUCUGUUUCUCGGGAGAUGUGCAUGCUUACUUGGCGUACUUGUGCUGCAGCAUGAUCAGACUGUCUUCCUCUCUUACUCUGGUGAAGGGGAACCGCUACAACCGAACAAGAGAACACCGGCACAUCCUUCUACUCUGCGAACAGAGGAGUGAACUCAGAGAGAGGAGCCUCACGCGCUGCGGAUACAAGAUGCCCACAGGCGGUACGCGGGAUGUGGCGUAGAUGUGGUCGGUACGUGAACGUGCGUGCCAUCAGAAUUGCGCUAAGUUGCACUUACCCCAACACCCGCAAACAUAUCCGCGGACAUCACGCGAUUCUCUCUCCCGCGCAUCGCCUUUCUUGCCUCGCCCCAGAAACGGACCAGCUGUUGUUGUGCGAUGAGCGGGUAGGCGGAGGGAGGGGGGAGUGCAGCAGAGGCAGUUUUGCAGUGACUCUUCUCCCUUCUCUCUAUCGUUUUGCAUUCUUAUUUGCGUAUCGGUGCGCACGUGGAUGUCCAUUUCUUCUGACUCUCUAUCCCCGCCUCUUUCCGUGCUCUCCCCGGUCUGCCGCACCGCCGUCACUCCCCCCAUUCUUCUUUUUCUCUCCCCCUCUCCAUCGCACACGCACACAUCCAUGCGGGAUGCGCCAUCGCAUGUCAG